UUGGAGGAAAUGGAGCUGGCCAUGGG
rnacentral:piRNA from 2 species